UUUUUUUUUUAAAGCUUUUUCUCCUGUCUUAAAAUACGGCAGGGGCCUUUUUUUUUUUUUUUUUUUUUAAUCCCCAUUUUACAGGGGAAGAAACCAAGGCGCAGCAAGGUCAAAAGACCUACCUGCCACAGCGCUGUCACAGACAAAUCUUGCAAGGGUAACUGGCUUCCUAAGAACGGGAAAUCGAGAAAGCCCAGCCUCUGGGAGGGCAACCGGCUGAGGGACAAGCCCUCUGAGGCUGUCUGGCCACCAGUGCAUUUACACUGUGCCCACAAGGGGUCAGUAGGUUCCGUGGGAGCCGAGGCCCACAGAAUGGAAGGUGGAGCCAUCCCCCGAUCGCAGCUCCGCCUCCAGGCUGCACCGCUGCUGCCUCGAAGGAACGUCCUGGAAGUGCCUCCUCCCCGACACGCCUGGGGUUGUGACUGGCCAAUGGCGUGCUUACCCCAGGAAGGCUGGGGAAGUUCCCAUGGGCCACGCCUUGCGUCUGGCCAGUCCUCCGGAUGCGAGCAGUCAUCUGUGCUGGGCAGUGCCUGUAGCCGAGGCAGCUGGCACAUACGCCCCCUGCCCGAAGGGCCGCAGCCGUUUCCACGGGAAUAACUGGAACCAAAAAUAUCACAGGGCUGGGUCUGUCCGGCCAGAACCUUCCCGGGUGGGGGAGGUCGAGAGCGGGAGAGACAUGAAGAACCAUAUGUAACGUAGCACGUCCAAGAUUUGGAGCCAGCCCUGGGUUUGGAUCCCGACUCUUCCUCUUUCUAUCAACCGUGACCUUGGACGGGUUACUUCGCUUCCCUAUGGCUCAGUCUCCUAAUUGGUAGAACAAGGAAGAAAAACGCCUUUCAGGGUGAUUCUGAGGACCUCUUCACUCACUCCUUUGACAAAUACUUCCAAGCUUCACCUAGGCUAGCCACUAGCUUCAGGGCAUGGCUUCAGGGCAUGUGACGCCGCUUGGAUUCAGUCCCUGGCAUAUAGCAAGUGUUGAAUCACGAAUACCUUCUCUUUGAAGGUCAGGCCAUGAAUCUGGACUCGAAAUAGGCAGUUGGAGGCAUGCCGAACAGAAGCAGGAGGAAAAACCACUGGGGGAAGGCUCCACUCAUAUCUGCACAGUGUGGAGGUGGGGUUGAAAAAUGCCAGCCUGGGGGCGCCUGGGUGGCUCCGUCGGUUGAGCAUCCGACUUCGGCUCCGGUCGUGAUCUCACCGUUUGUGAGUUCAAGUCCCACCCUUUAAAAUCAACAACAACAACAAUGAAUCGAAGCCUGAUUAAGAGCAUUUACCGAUCUCUGCAUUACGAGUACCCAGCGCAUGGCUGAUUGCAAGUCCCCAGCCUCACCGUGACAUUGGGAACAGAUGUGCAACUGCCCACUGUCAUACAGUAUUUCAGCCACCCGGAUGUGGGAGAUUGUCACCUCACGUGUACGGGUCACAGUAAAGUAGAGUAAAAAUGGUUAGGGA